rnacentral:rRNA from 2 species
CGGAGGGAAACCGAGUCUUAAUUGGGCGUUAAGUUGCAGGGUAUAGACCCGAAACCCGGUGAUCUAGCCAUGGGCAGGUUGAAGGUUGGGUAACACUAACUGGAGGACCGAACCGACUAAUGUUGAAAAAUUAGCGGAUGACCUGUGGCUGGGGGUGAAAGGCCAAUCAAACCGGGAGAUAGCUGGUUCUCCCCGAAAGCUAUUUAGGUAGCGCCUCGUGAAUUCAUCUCCGGGGGUAGAGCACUGUUUCGGCUAGGGGGCCAUCCCGGCUUACCAACCCGAUGCAAACUGCGAAUACCGGAGAAUGUUAUCACGGGAGACACACGGCGGGUGCUAACGUCCGUCGUGAAGAGGGAAACAACCCAGACCGCCAGCUAAGGUCCCAAAGUCAUGGUUAAGUGGGAAACGAUGUGGGAAGGCCCAGACAGCCAGGAUGUUGGCUUAGAAGCAGCCAUCAUUUAAAGAAAGCGUAAUAGCUCACUGGUCGAGUCGGCCUGCGCGGAAGAUGUAACGGGGCUAAACCAUGCACCGAAGCUGCGGCAGCGAACGUAUCACCCAAGACAACUUUACGGAGUUGACGAUUGACGGAGCGAAGCGACGUCAAAGCGUUCAUUAAAGUCGAGUUGGCUUAGGGAUACGUUCGUUGGGUAGGGGAGCGUUCUGUAAGCCUGUGAAGGUGUGUCGUGAGGCAUGCUGGAGGUAUCAGAAGUGCGAAUGCUGACAUAAGUAACGAUAAAGCGGGUGAAAAGCCCGCUCGCCGGAAGACCAAGGGUUCCUGUCCAACGUUAAUCGGGGCAGGGUGAGUCGACCCCUAAGGCGAGGCCGAAAGGCGUAGUCGAUGGGAAACGGGUUAAUAUUCCCGUACUUGGUGUUACUGCGAAGGGGGGACGGAGAAGGCUAUGUUGGCCGGGCGACGGUUGUCCCGGUUUAAGCGUGUAGGUGUGUGUUCCAGGUAAAUCCGGUUCACUUUAACACUGAGGCGUGACGACGAGGCACUACGGUGCUGAAGCAACAAAUGCCCUGCUUCCAGGAAAAGCCUCUAAGCAUCAGGUAACAC